CAAAAAUCCUGGGAAUGUUCCUGAGAAGGGAUUUUGGAGAUGCUCGGCCUAGGACUGGCCCUCGGGAAGAUGACCCGACCUUUGUCCUGUGCAGCUGAGUGCUGAACACUGGUCAGCUCUGGAUAAAGCCUGAUGUCACCGAGCUGAUGGCGGGGCGUCUGCACUGAACACCUUCCAGCUUGGUGGGGGCACGGGAACCAGCUGUCCUCAUUAAAAGUGACCUGGAGUGAGAUGGAUUCUUCUGCCUAUACCUCCACGCGUGGGCUCCCUGAACACCCCCAUCGCCAUGGGCUCCCAAGAAGUAUUGCUGCUGGCUGCAGGGCUCACUGCAAUGCUGCGACAGGAGGUGACAGGCCAAGGCCAGCAGGUGACUGCUCUCCCCAGAGGCCCUGUCAGCUGGAAGCAGCUGGUUUCACAUAACAGAGACCCCAGGCCCAGGUCCCCUGGAUGCAGGAGGAUUUGCGGCUGCCCUUUUGGAAGAGGGUCUGCUCCUUCCUCCUCGCAGCUCUGGGGACUGCAUCUCGGAAUCCUGCCGGCCACUCCUCCGCUGCAGGGGUGGAC
rnacentral:lncRNA from 1 species